rnacentral:rRNA from 1 species
GACCUCGGAUCAGGUAGGGAUACCCGCUGAACUUAAGCAUAUCAAUAAGCGGAGGAAAAGAAACCAACAGGGAUUGCCUCAGUAACGGCGAGUGAAGCGGCAACAGCUCAAAUUUGAAAUCUGGCCUUCGGGUCCGAGUUGUAAUUUGCAGAGGAUGCUUCGAGCAUGGUCUAGUCUAAGUUCCUUGGAAUAGGACGUCAUAGAGGGUGAGAAUCCCGUAUGCGACUGGGUGCCUAAGCUCAUGUGAAGCUCCUUCGACGAGUCGAGUUGUUUGGGAAUGCAGCUCAAAAUGGGUGGUAAAUUUCAUCUAAAGCUAAAUAUUGGCCAGAGACCGAUAGCGCACAAGUAGAGUGAUCGAAAGAUGAAAAGCACUUUGGAAAGAGAGUUAGAUAGCACGUGAAAUUGUUGAAAGGGAAGCGC